CAUUCACCAUUGUUGUUCUUUCUUUUGACAGGUCCUUUGCUACCCUUUGAGCACAGCCCAGACCUUUGAGAAUACCAAGAUGAAGACAAAGAAUAAUUCCAAUGAGUAUUUCAGAGAUUUUGCUGUCAGAUGCUUUUCUGCUUUCACACAGGCUCAAUCCUGACAUGACUGUUGACUUCAGUGAAGCCCUUGAUGGCAGAGGGACUCAGUGCUGGUCUGAAACCUCAAGUUACAGAAGCCCAGUGGGAAGAGAGGAAGAGUUAAAUGGAUGGGGAGAAGCUGGCACUGUUCAUAAGUAGAAGAUUCUGAGGCGUGACUUCAGAGAUUGGAGAAAUGUCUGUGGCAUACUUUUCACCGAGGCAAGUGGUGAGCUGCUCUGGCUGUAGCAGAAGCAGUUUCACAAUACUCAUGGAACAGGAAUAGCACCAGAGGGAACAGUGAGGCAGGU
rnacentral:lncRNA from 1 species